rnacentral:tRNA from 1 species
CGCAGCCGACAGGAUUCGAACCUGUCCGGGAAGAUCCCAUUGGAUUUCGAGUCCAACGCCUUAACCACUCGGCCACGACUGC